CCUACGGGUGGCAGCAGUGAGGAAUAUUGGUCAAUGGACGAGAGUCUGAACCAGCCACGUAGCGUGAAGGAUGACUGCCCUAUGGGUUGUAAACUUCUUUUAUAUGGGAAUAAAAUGUUCCACGUGUGGGAUUUUGUAUGUACCAUAUGAAUAAGGAUCGGCUAACUCCGUGCCAGCAGCCGCGGUAAUACGGAGGAUCCGAGCGUUAUCCGGAUUUAUUGGGUUUAAAGGGAGCGUAGGUGGAUUGUUAAGUCAGUUGUGAAAGUUUGCGGUUCAACCGUAAAAUUGCAGUUGAAACUGGCAGUCUUGAGUACAGUAGAGGUGGGCGGAAUUCGUGGUGUAGCGGUGAAAUGCUUAGAUAUCACGAAGAACUCCGAUUGCGAAGGCAGUUCACUGGACUGCAACUGACACUGAGGCUCGAAAGUGUGGGUAUCAAACAGGAUUAGAUACCCUUGUAGUC
rnacentral:rRNA from 1 species